rnacentral:rRNA from 1 species
GAAUUCGCCCUUAGAGUUUGAUCCUGGCUCAGGACGAACGCUGGCGGCGCGCCUAACACAUGCAAGUCGAACGAGCGAGAGAGAGCUUGCUUUCUCAAGCGAGUGGCGAACGGGUGAGUAACGCGUGAGGAACCUGCCUCAAAGAGGGGGACAACAGUUGGAAACGACUGCUAAUACCGCAUAAGCCCACGACCCGGCAUCGGGUAGAGGGAAAAGGAGCAAUCCGCUUUGAGAUGGCCUCGCGUCCGAUUAGCUAGUUGGUGAGGUAAUGGCCCACCAAGGCGACGAUCGGUAGCCGGACUGAGAGGUUGAACGGCCACAUUGGGACUGAGACACGGCCCAGACUCCUACGGGAGGCAGCAGUGGGGAAUAUUGCACAAUGGGGGAAACCCUGAUGCAGCGACGCCGCGUGGAGGAAGAAGGUCUUCGGAUUGUAAACUCCUGUUGUUGAGGAAGAUAAUGACGGUACUCAACAAGGAAGUGACGGCUAACUACGUGCCAGCAGCCGCGGUAAAACGUAGGUCACAAGCGUUGUCCGGAAUUACUGGGUGUAAAGGGAGCGCAGGCGGGAAGACAAGUUGGAAGUGAAAUCCAUGGGCUCAACCCAUGAACUGCUUUCAAAACUGUUUUUCUUGAGUAGUGCAGAGGUAGGCGGAAUUCCCGGUGUAGCGGUGGAAUGCGUAGAUAUCGGGAGGAACACCAGUGGCGAAGGCGGCCUACUGGGCACCAACUGACGCUGAGGCUCGAAAGUGUGGGUAGCAAACAGGAUUAGAUACCCUGGUAGUCCACACUGUAAACGAUGAUUACUAGGGGUUGGAGGAUUGACCCCUUCAGUGGCCCAGUUAACACAAUAAG